UACGGAGGGUGCAAACGUUGUUCGGAAUUACUGGGCGUAAAGGGCGCGUAGGCGGAUAGUUCAGUUGGGGGUGAAAGCCCGGGGCUCAACCUCGGAACUGCCUUCAAUACUGGCUAUCUUGAGUACGGGGGAGGUGUGUGGAACUCCGAGUGUAGAGGUGAAAUUCGUAGAUAUUCGGAAGAACACCAGUGGCGAAGGCGACACACUGGCCCGUUACUGACGCUGAGGCGCGAAAGCGUGGGGAGCAAACAGG
rnacentral:rRNA from 1 species